rnacentral:rRNA from 1 species
AACGGCCGUACCAUGCUGAAUAUACCGGUUCUCGUUACAUCAUCUUAAGUCAAGCAUCAUUGGGCGCGGUCAGUACUUGUGUGGGUGACCACCCGGGAACACCAUUGUGCCG